UGAGUAACCUGCCCUUAACUCUGGGAUAAGCCUGGGAAACUGGGUCUAAUACCGGAUAUGACUCCUCAUCGCAUGGUGGGGGGUGGAAAGCUUUUUGUGGUUUUGGAUGGACUCGCGGCCUAUCAGCUUGUUGGUGAGGUAAUAGCUCACCAAGGCGAUGACGGGUAGCCGGCCUGAGAGGGUGACCGGCCACACUGGGACUGAGACACGGCCCAAACUCCGUACGGGAGGCAG
rnacentral:rRNA from 1 species